rnacentral:rRNA from 1 species
GACGAAGGGGGCUAGCGUUGCUCGGAAUUACUGGGCGUAAAGCGAGUGUAGGUGGUUGUCCAAGUUGGAUGUGAAAGCCUUGAGCUUAACUCAAGAAAUGCAUUCAGGACUGGGCGACUAGAGGACCGGAGAGGAUAGUGGAAUUCCCAGUGUAGUGGUGAAAUACGUAGAGAUUGGGAAGAACACCAGUGGCGAAGGCGGCUAUCUGGACGGUUUCUGACACUAAGACUCGAAAGCGUGGGGAGCAAACAGG